UAGGGAAUCUUCGGCAAUGGGGGGAACCCUGACCGAGCAACGCCGCGUGAGUGAAGAAGGUUUUCGGAUCGUAAAGCUCUGUUGUUAAGGAAGAACGAGUGUGAGAAUGGAAAGUUCAUGCUGUGACGGUACUUAACCAGAAAGGGACGGCUAACUACGUGCCAGCAGCCGCGGUAAUACGUAGGUCCCGAGCGUUUUCCGGAUUUAUUGGGCGUAAAGCGAGCGCAGGCGGUUAGAAAAGUCUGAAGUGAAAGGCAGUGGCUCAACCAUUGUAGGCUUUGGAAACUGUUUAACUUGAGUGCAGAAGGGGAGAGUGGAAUUCCAUGUGUAGCGGUGAAAUGCGGAGAUAUAUGGAGGAACACCGGUAGCGAAAGCGGCUCUCUGGUCUGUAAAUGACGCUGAGGCUCGAAAACGUGGGGAGCGAACAGG
rnacentral:rRNA from 1 species